rnacentral:rRNA from 1 species
GAUGAACGCUGGCGGCGUGCUUAACACAUGCAAGUCGAACGGAAAGGCCCAAGCUUGCUUGGGUACUCGAGUGGCGAACGGGUGAGUAACACGUGGGUGAUCUGCCCUGCACUUCGGGACAAGCCUGGGAAACUGGGUCUAAUACCGGAUAGGACCACAUCAUGGAUGGUGUGGUGGAAAGUUUGUCGGUGUGGGUUGAGCUCGUGGCCUAUCAGCUUGUUGGUGGGGUAAUGGCCUACCAAGGCGUCGACGGGUAGCCGGCCUGAGAGGGUGUACGGCCACAUUGGGACUGAGAUACGGCCCAGACGCGUACGGGAGGCAGCAGUGGGGAAGAUUGCACAAUGGGCGCAAGCCUGGUGCAGCGAGGCCGCGUGGGGGAUGACGGCCUUCGGGGUGUGGACUGCUUUCGCUAGGGACGAAGCGUUAUGUGACGUUACCUGGAGAAGAAGCACCGGCUAACUACGUG